rnacentral:tRNA from 1 species
UCCCUGGUGGCUCAGAUGGUAAAGUGUCUGCCUGCAAUGCAGGAGACCCAGGAUCGAUUCUGGGUUAGGAAG